AUGAAAAUUUAAUGGAUUUUAAAUCAUACGAGUAUGCAGGAACGAAAGAAUCAUUAAUGUGAAAAAUUAGAACUGAAAUAAUUGAACAAAUUCAAAAUUUCAAUAUUAUGUAUGCAGUGAAUUAAAAUAAAAUGGAAAUGGAAGAAGUUUGUAAAAAUUAUAUGCACUUUUGCACAUAGAUCAUACAUCAUUUGAUGCUUUUUAACUUGUUGCCGUAUUACUUUGGAUGAUAGUGAAAGACAAACUGGUUAAUAACUUUUAUUACAUGAAAUGAACUAGAAUCUGAAGAUAAGUAAGAGUGGACAUUCCAGAUAUAAAAUAAAUCACUCAAAAUUUGUUAAGGUUCAACAAAUAUUUUGUUUCUGGAAUUAAGUAAUUUCUUUAAAAUUUAUGUGUCUUCUGCACAACAACAAAACCAAGAAAAAACAAAGAAAGAAUGAAAGAAAAAUCUUUUUCCAAAUACCUCAUCAAUCAAAAUUUUCUCUUCAUACACACAUAUAUCCAGUUGUUGAUAUUGAUGAUGAUGUUGUUGAUGACGAACCAAUAUGCACCAAAGAGAAUGCCCAUACGACAUCAUAAAACAAAUUGAUUAAGGAAGCAAUCGAAAAUGUAAUAAGUUCAACACAAUAAACUCUAAAGGCAAUAUUCAUUUAUUUGGAAGCACCAUGGAAACAAAAGGAUUGGAAUAAAUUAGAUAUACAGCAAUAUGCAAACUAUUGUCAUUUUUUAUUAAUAAAUUUUAGUAAAAUUCUAACGAAUUUUGUUUGGUACCAUAAAUUUUACACAUAUAUCAGAUAAUUUCAA